GGUGGGUGGUGGAAAGGGUUUUACUGGUUUUGGAUGGGCUCACGGCCUAUCAGCUUGUUGGUGGGGUAAUGGCUCACCAAGGCGACGACGGGUAGCCGGCCUGAGAGGGUGACCGGCCACACUGGGACUGAGACACGGCCCAGACUCCUACGGGAGGCAGCAGUGGGGAAUAUUGCACAAUGGGCGGAAGCCUGAUGCAGCGACGCCGCGUGAGGGAUGACGGCCUUCGGGUUGUAAACCUCUUUCAGUAGGGAAGAAGCGCAAGUGACGGUACCUGCAGAAGAAGCGCCGGCUAACUACGUGCCAGCAGCCGCGGUAAUACGUAGGGCGCAAGCGUUGUCCGGAAUUAUUGGGCGUAAAGAGCUCGUAGGCGGUUUGUCGCGUCUGCUGUGAAAGCCCGGGGCUCAACCCCGGGUCUGCAGUGGGUACGGGCAGACUAGAGUGCAGUAGGGGAGACUGGAAUUCCUGGUGUAGCGGUGAAAUGCGCAGAUAUCAGGAGGAACACCGAUGGCGAAGGCAGGUCUCUGGGCUGUUACUGACGCUGAGGAGCGAAAGCAUGGGGAGCGAACAGGAUUAGAUACCCUGGUAGUCCAUGCCGUAAACGUUGGGCACUAGGUGUGGGGGACAUUCCACGUUUUCCGCGCCG
rnacentral:rRNA from 1 species